rnacentral:rRNA from 1 species
CACGUAGGGCGCAAGCGUUGUCCGGAAUUAUUGGGCGUAAAGAGCUCGUAGGCGGUCUGUUGCGUCCGCUGUGAAAACUCGGGGCUUAACCCCGAGCCUGCAGUGGAUACGGGCAGACUAGAGGUAGGUAGGGGAGAAUGGAAUUCCCGGUGUAGCGGUGAAAUGCGCAGAUAUCGGGAGGAACACCGGUGGCGAAGGCGGUUCUCUGGGCACUUACUGACGCUGAGGAGCGAAAGCGUGGGGAGCGAACAGG